CAAGCCUGAUCCAGCCAUGCCGCGUGGGUGAAGAAGGCCUUCGGGUUGUAAAGCCCUUUUGUUGGGAAAGAAAAGCAGCCGGCCAAUACCCGGUUGUUCUGACGGUACCCAAAGAAUAAGCACCGGCUAACUUCGUGCCAGCAGCCGCGGUAAUACGAAGGGUGCAAGCGUUACUCGGAAUUACUGGGCGUAAAGCGCACGUAGGCGGACUUUUAAGUCAGGGGUGAAAUCCCGGGGCUCAACCUCGGAACUGCCUUUGAUACUGGAAGUCUGGAGUCCGAGAGAGGUGAGUGGAACUCCGAGUGUAGAGGUGAAAUUCGUAGAUAUUCGGAAGAACACCAGUGGCGAAGGCGGCUCACUGGCUCGGUACUGACGCUGAGGUGCGAAAGCGUGGGGAGCAAACA
rnacentral:rRNA from 1 species